GGGACCCGGGGUAGAAUAGGUCCCCAGCACCCCCUUGCUGAUCGUAAGAGGCGACAAAUGGGGCAACUCUUUUACCGCCAGCUGCAACCCGUUACUGUUUCUGUUACUAAUGUGUUUGGCUGCGGCUUCUCCAGAUUCUCACAGUGCUUUGUCUCAGACUUCACAUAGAUGGGCAUUGGAAAAGGCCAAUUCCAAACAAUCGGCUAGACAAGUCAAGUUAAUUUCUAUAGCGCUUUUCACAACAGACAUUGUCUCAAAGCAGUUUUGCAGAAUUUAACAACUAAGCCAGAAGUUUUGUUGAUUUAGGCCUGCUUCAUAGUAUUUCUGUUUGUGAAAACCAUCUUUCUUUCAGUCUCCUAAGGACAAGAUUCUCCCUCUAAUGACUGCUUUUAAUGUGUCCCA